ACAUGCCUACAACAUAGUGUUAAUGCAUCGGAUCCCAUUAGAACUCUGCAAUUAAACACACUAAGGAUAGAGUAUUAUUGGGAUGGGUAACUGCCUAGGAAGCCCUAGUGUUUUACAUGCC
rfam:Picea glauca, whole genome shotgun sequence.